CUACAGGCAAUGAAUUAUCUCUUUGCCAUAUUGAUGCUCCAUCCCUGGUGAGCUUGUUCCUCUUUGAGGGAUGUCUUCCUUCUUUGAUUUCGUUGUACUAUUUAUAUAACUACACUCACUGGAUUAUCAUGUGCCAUAUGCUUUCAUGUACUUUUAGUGUCCCUAUAUUGCUCAUUCUUAAUCUGAGGAAUGCUAGAUCCAAAACCUGAUUUUUUUAUAGCCUAUGUUAGCAGCCAUUUUCCUUGAAUCUUUAAUGCCACCAAAUUAAAUUCCAUCAUUUCCAAUGUGUGUGUGUCAGUGACAAUGAAGGUAAAGCUCGAAUAUAGCCUCCUGCUCAUAUUGUUUUCCUACUCAUUGAUAUGCACAUGGUUACAACUACUAUACUAAUUACAUGAAUAUCCUGAAAUUUGGUUUGCAUCUAUAGGUCCAAUUAUGAUGUACGAUGGUAGACUCUUCCACUAAAUAUGACCACAUUCAAAAUGAAGUGCACAUAAAAUUUAUGAGAAUAAUCCAUCUUUUAAUUUUGUUGGGACCAUUCUCUCUAGGCCUGUGCUGAUCCCACUCUUUUGCAUUUGUACUUUCACAUAGGACACAUAGGACCAUGGGUGCACUAUUGCCGUGAACUCAUCCAUGCCGACAACUGCCUCCAUGCUACAGCUGCCGCAGCCUGCAGGUAUGGCGGUCAGCGACCGGGAUGACACCGACAACAAAAGGAAUUAAGGAAGGGUUCUCGAGGUCUGCUCCUACUCCACCGGUAGAGAGGAGCCUCCUUCUCAUGAUCCGCCUGUCUGCCCCGGCCUCCCCGGCCAGAGCUGAUGCCAUGGAAGGAUGCUGCUAAUGCGACACUACGAUCAGAGACCCUUUGAGAAACUGUG